CGCCAGGGCCCAUGGAACGCGGACUUACGAACCCCGCCAGGGCCGGAAGGCAGCAACGGUAGUUUGCUCCCGUCUGCCGUGGUCACCCUGGUAUUU
rnacentral:SRP_RNA from 1 species